rnacentral:rRNA from 1 species
CAGUCGCCACGGUAAUACGAGGGGGGCAAGCGUUGUUCGGAAUUAUUGGGCGUAAAGGGCGCGUAGGCGGUUUGGCAAGUUUGGUGUGAAAUCUUCGGGCUCAACUCGAAGUCUGCAUCGAAAACUGCCGGGCUUGAGUAUGGGAGAGGUGAGUGGAAUUCUCGGUGUAGCAGUGAAAUGCGUGGAUAUCGAGAGGAACACUCGUGGCGAAGGCGAGUCACUGGACAACAUCUGACGCUGAGGCUCGAAGGCUAGGGUAGCGAAAGGGAUUAGAGACCCCAGUAGUCCCUGUCUCUUAUAA